rnacentral:misc_RNA from 1 species
AAUAAUAUAUAUGUAAAAUUGCAUGAAAUUGGUUAUCUUUGUGCCAAUUUUUAUUAGGUAGAAUUUGCAACUAAAUUCUAGACAAUACAUUUAAAACGAGUUCCAUGAUAUGUAAGACACUAAGUAGGAGAAUUCAUUUAGUAGUGAAUUAUUAUAAACUCAUCUUGAAAAUGGAAAUAAAAUCAAUCCCAUAUUCAUUUGGUUCCAAACCAAAUAUAAGUUUCAG